rnacentral:lncRNA from 7 species
CUGAACCGUGCGAGGUGCCGUGCACUGCAGGGCACGCGAACCAGGACGCAACGUUUUUUCCUUUUCUCUGGACAGUGGCACCCCGCGCGCCAUAGCAUGGUGACCGUCGAAGGAGAGAUUGUUGAGAGUAGAAACUAGAAAGUUUAGAGGAGACACGUUGCAUUCUCGGUGCAGAGGAGGCAAUGACACAACACAGAUGAACGAAGGAGAGAAAAUGGUUACUAAUUGUGUUAUCGUAGUACAACCUCACAGUAUGCCAAUUAAUUAAGCCGCGCACUCAUGAGAAGCCUCAAAGAAUACAAUUAUGUACACUGCUGGAAUCAGGAUUAGCUAAAGCUCUUAGUCGACUUAUGACAA